AAUGUCAUGCCGUUUGUGGGUUUGAAAGUGAAGGAGUUUGCGUUUUAGUCUUUCUGAUCAAACUAAUGAAAAUAUUUGACCAAAAAAAACGAUCUAAUUUUAACUCUCCUAAGGUUAUUUUUAGUUGCUGUAAAACAAAUUUCCACACCACCUUAGCAGCGCUCAUUGUUUUGAUGCUGGGAAAAGUAAAGUGCAAUGUUAACAUUUGCACUCAUCUCAGUAACACUUAAGUCCUUCUGCCACAUCCUGGAAAAAGGACCCUGAUUGUUAGGAUGAAGAAUUAACUGCCUCUAAAGCAACAGCCACCAGAUGUUGUUGCUGCUAAAGCCAGGUGUGGAGAAAUUGCAUAUGCAGAAUGUGUGUAAAAUAUUUAAAGUCGUAUCUUUCAUUUAAGGUGUGAAGUGUUUUUAUUGCCCAUCACUGCUGUGAGGAGGGGGAGAAGAAAGGGCCAACGGCCUCCCCCCUCGGGCUCCUGCUGGGCUGGAGCCCAGCACCUGUGGUGUUAAGACGGCACACAUGCAGUGGUGAGAGGAAAAGUGGUACCAAGAAAUGAUGGACAGUUUCUUUCUUUUACAAACAUGAGCCUCCAAAAGACGUCACACUCAAAUGUCUCAUUUCCAAGUGUCCAUGAUUAAAUAAGAAGGACCAUGUGACCCAGCAUGUGAGAAAUGCCUCUCUGCCGCCUGCUGCAUCGGACAGGGCGCUCCCUUCACAGAUAAACGCAUAAACACUGCUUGUACCCAAACAAAAGCAUCAAGCAGGCAUUUCAUUAGACCAUUGUGUGAUAUGGCAGGCCGCUGCUGUGAAUGUAUUUAUUAGUUAGCGAUACAUGUCUUUUCCUGUUGUUCCCGGGGCACUGGAUAAUGCCGGUUUUGUUCUUGGCCCAGUGUGAACGGCGCCUCGGCUGCCAGCUGUCAGGGCUGAUACUGUCUCAUUUGGAUGCUCGGCCUGCCUGCUGAAUGGCUAAUUAGAUUUGCCAUUUUCAAUCCACUGAUUGCUGUACAUCGUGAGACAAAGGAGCUGACAGCAUGUAGAAUUCAAGGCAAACUGUAACAAUUAAUAACUGUGGUAAUUAACAUGUGUGCUGGACAUCAUUGAUUAUGACAUUACCUGCAGAACGGAUGGCCCGGGCCCUGCCAUUUCAUUAAGGAGCACAGAUAUAGAUUGUUAUUAAUAAACUGCUCUCUACAGCCAAGAGGAGGUUAUUAAUUACACAAAUUAGCAGGUGCGGGGGUAAUCACGUUAGAGCCGUUUUGUUCACAAUAAUUGAUCUAAUUUUUACUGACCAUUCCAGUUGGAUCGUGUCACAUGGCUCUGCGUGAAGAGAAAUCACCUCAUUAGGAGAAGUUUAGUCCUAAUCAUAGUUCCAGCUCUGCCCAGCUUUAAGGUCAUAUCUGAAUGUCAGAAUCAUUCCAAAUUGAUUGGUGCUAAAUUGAAUCAAUGUCAUGUUGAGAGAAAACAAUAACAGCUAAUGGAUGGAGUGAGCUAGCUGACAACAAACAGGUUCAUUGGUAGGUGUGUGUUUGUGAACAUGUGUGUGUGUGGGUCGGUUUUCAUAAUUCAUUAUGUCCAUUGGACAAAACGUCAGGAUCUGGGCAAUUAGCAGCAGCACCAGCAGCAGGGACCUGUUGGACACCGUGUGUUUGUGGGCAUAAGCACAUUUUGUCAAUGAAUGAAAGCAUUGAAACAGAAGGGAUGGAGUUUGCUGACUGGAGAAUUCAGAGAA